rnacentral:rRNA from 1 species
CCUACGGGAGGCAGCAGUGAGGAAUAUUGGUCCAUGGACGAGAGUCUGAACCAGCCAAGUAGCGUGAAGGAUGACUGCCCUAUGGGUUGUAAACUUCUUUUAUAUGGGAAUAAAACGUUCCACGUGUGGGAUUUUGUAUGUACCAUAUGACUAAGGAUCGGCUAACUCCGUGCCAGCAGCCGCGGUAAUACGGAGGAUCCGAGCGUUAGCCGGAUUUAUUGGGUUUAAAGGGAGCUUAGGUGGAUUGUUAAGUCAGUUGUGAAAGUUUGCGGCUCAACCGUAAAAUUGCAGUUGAAACUGGCAGUCUUGAGUACAGUAGAGGUGGGCGGAAUUCGUGGUGUAGCGGUGAAAUGCUUAGAUAUCACGAAGAACUCCGAUUGCGAAGGCAGUUCACUGGACUGCAACUGACACUGAGGCUCGAAAGUGUGGGUAUCAAACAGGAUUAGAUACCCGGGUAGUC